rnacentral:rRNA from 1 species
CGGCCUUGACAUACUAAGAACUUUCCAGAGAUGGAUUGGUGCCUUCGGGAACUUAGAUACAGGUGCUGCAUGGCUGUCGUCAGCUCGUGUCGUGAGAUGUUGGGUUAAGUCCCGNAACGAGCGCAACCUUUUCUAUUUGCCAGCGGGUCAUGCCGGGAACUUUAAGGAUACUGCCAGUGACAAACUGGAGGAAGGCGGGGACGACGUCAAGUCAUCAUGGCCCUUACGGCCAGGGCUACACACGUGCUACAAUGGUCGGUACAAAGGGUUGCUACCUCGCGAGAGGAUGCUAAUCUCAAAAAGCCGAUCGUAGUCCGGAUCGCAGUCUGCAACUCGACUGCGUGAAGUCGGAAUCGCUAGUAAUCGCGGAUCAGAAUGCCGCGGUGAAUACGUUCCCGGGCCUUGUACACACCGCCCGUCACACCAUGGGAGUUUGUUGCACCAGAAGUAGGUAGUCUAACCGCAAGGAGGACGCUUACCACGGUGUGGCCGAUGACUGGGGUGAAGUCGUAACAAGGUAAGCGUAGAUGA